rnacentral:rRNA from 2 species
AGCGUUGUCCGGGAUUUAUUGGGCGUAAAGCGAGCGCAGGCGGUUUUUUAAGUCUGAUGUGAAAGCCUUCGGCUUAACCGGAGAAGUGCAUCGGAAACUGGGAGACUUGAGUGCAGAAGAGGACAGUGGAACUCCAUGUGUAGCGGUGGAAUGCGUAGAUAUAUGGAAGAACACCAGUGGCGAAGGCGGCUGUCUAGUCUGUAACUGACGCUGAGGCUCGAAAGCAUGGGUAGCGAACAGGAUUAGAUACCCUGGUAGUCCAUGCCGUAAACGAUGAGUGCUAAGUGUUGGAGGGUUUCCGCCCUUCAGUGCUGCAGCUAACGCAUUAAGCACUCCGCCUGGGGAGUACGACCGCAAGGUUGAAACUCAAAGGAAUUGACGGGGGCCCGCACAAGCGGGUGGAGCAUGUGGUUUAAUUCGAAGCUACGCGAAGAACCUUACCAGGUCUUGACAUCUUCUGCCAAUCUUAGAGAUAAGACGUUCCCUUCGGGGACAGAAUGACAGGUGGUGCAUGGUUGUCGUCAGCUCGUGUCGUGAGAUGUUGGGUUAAGUCCCGCAACGAGCGCAACCCUUAUUAUCAGUUGCCAGCAUUCAGUUGGGCACUCUGGUGAGACUGCCGGUGACAAACCGGAGGAAGGUGGGGGAUGACGUCAAAUCAUCAUGCCCCUUAUGACCUGGGCUACACACGUGCUACAAUGGACGGUACAACGAGUUGCGAAGUCGUGAGGCUAAGCUAAUCUCUUAAAGCCGUUCUCAGUUCGGAUUGUAGGCUGCAACUCGCCUACAUGAAGUUGGAAUCGCUAGUAAUCGCGGAUCAGCAUGCCGCGGUGAA